rnacentral:tRNA from 1 species
GCGGGAAUAGCUCAGUUGGUAGAGCACGACUGGCCAAGGUCGGGGUCGCGAGUUCGAGUCUCGUUUCCCGCUCCA